rnacentral:rRNA from 1 species
GACGAACGCUGGCGGCGUGCCUAACACAUGCAAGUCGAACGAAGUGGCGAACGGGUGAGUAACGCGUAAUCAACCUGCCCUUCAAAGGGGGACAACAGUUGGAAACGACUGCUAAUACCGCAUACUGAAGGAGUGGAUUGCGUGUGAUUAGCUAGUUGGAGGGGAAACGGCCCACCAAGGCGAUGAUCAGUAGCCGGGCUGAGAGGAUGAACGGCCACAAUGGGAAUGGGACACGGCCCAGACUCCUACGGGAGGGAGGAGGGGGGAAUCUUCCGCAAUGGGCGGAAGUCUGACGGAGCAACGCCGCGGGAGUGAUGAAGGCCUUCGGGUUGUAAAGCUCUGUUAAUCGGGACGCGGUACCGGAAUAGAAAGCCACGGCUAACUACGUGCCAGCAGCCGCGGUAAUAC